rnacentral:rRNA from 1 species
UACAGAGGGGGCAAGCGUUGUUCGGAAUUACUGGGCGUAAAGGGCGCGUAGGCGGCCCGCUAAGUCGAACGUGAAAUCCCCGAGCUCAACUCGGGAACUGCGUCCGAUACUGGCGGGCUUGAAUCCGGGAGAGGGAUGCGGAAUUCCAGGUGUAGCGGUGAAAUGCGUAGAUAUCUGGAGGAACACCGGUGGCGAAGGCGGGUUGCUGGGCCGACACUGACGCCGAGGCGCGAAAGCUAGGGGAGCGAACAGG